rnacentral:tRNA from 1 species
GGGGCUGUAACUCAGUUGGGAGAGUGCUUGCCUUGCACGCAGGAAGUCGCAAGUUCGAAUCUUGUCAGCUCCACCA